rnacentral:rRNA from 1 species
UACGAAGGGGGCUAGCGUUGUUCGGAAUCACUGGGCGUAAAGCGCACGUAGGCGGAUUUGUAAGUCAGAGGUGAAAUCCCGGGGCUCAACCUCGGAACUGCCUUUGAUACUGCGGAUCUUGAGUCCGAUAGAGGUGGGUGGAAUUCCUAGUGUAGAGGUGAAAUUCGUAGAUAUUAGGAAGAACACCGGUGGCGAAGGCGGCCCACUGGAUCGGUACUGACGCUGAGGUGCGAAAGCGUGGGGAGCAAAC